GUGGGGAAUCUUGCGCAAUAGGCGAAAGCCUGACGCAGCCAUGCCGCGUGAAUGAUGAAGGUCUUAGGAUUGUAAAAUUCUUUCACCGGGGACGAUAAUGACGGUACCCGGAGAAGAAGCUCCGGCUAACUUCGUGCCAGCAGCCGCGGUAAUACGAAGGGGGCUAGCGUUGCUCGGAAUUACUGGGCGUAAAGGGCGCGUAGGCGGACAGCUUAGUCAGAGGUGAAAGCCCAGGGCUCAACCUUGGAAUUGCCUUUGAUACUGGCUGUCUUGAGUUUGGGAGAGGUGAGUGGAACUCCGAGUGUAGAGGUGAAAUUCGUAGAUAUUCGGAAGAACACCAGUGGCGAAGGCGACUGACUGGACAAGUAUUGACGCUGAGGUGCGAAAGCGUGGGGAGCAAACAGGAUUAGAUACCCGGGUAGUCC
rnacentral:rRNA from 1 species